GGGGUCAAGCCCCCUUGGAGCCUGCAGCCCCUGCCUUCCCUGGGUGGGCUGAUGCUUGGAGCAGAGAUGAGGACUCAGAAUCAGACCUGUGUCUGGAGGAGGGAUGUGGUGGGUGGAGCUGGCUGGGCCCGAAUGUGUGCUGCAGGCCCUGAUCCCCAACUCUGCAAGUGGGGACCCCUCCAUGGCCACAGCUCAGGCUGGGCUGUGGUGCCAGCAUGGAUAGGUGGGUGAGUGGGUGGCCCUUACUUUAAAAGGGAAGCCAGCUGUGUCCUUUCCGGGCCUGGAGGCUUGGCCCCUCCUCUCCCAAGCCUGGCGGGCACUGGCCCGGCCCGCACCUUCCUAGCAGCCAGUUACCCAAGAGAAAGCUGUCUUGGGCCUCCAGACCGUUAAAUGCCAACUCCUGGCUUCCGGUAUCAGGCUGGGUUGACCUGACCUGGCCCCUUCUUGCUGGGCCCUGCAGCUUUCUAACUUGCCAGGAGGAGCAGUGACACCCGCCCCACAUGUAGGGCAUGGAGCAAGGUCCAUAUGGACCCAGAAGGGACACAAGCAGGUCUGCUUAGUCCUGAGGAGCUGGGAACUAAGCUGGGAAUAGCUGAUCCUCCCUGCCUUGAGGGGGUUCUCAGGGCAGGGAAGAGUUAGGACUGUUUUUUUUUUUGAGAUGGAGUCUCGCACUGUCAUCUGGGCUGGAGUGCAAUGGCUCGAUCUCGGCUCACUGUAACCUCUGCCUCCCCAGUUCACACGAUUCUCCUGCCUCAGCCUCCCAGGUAGCUGGGAUUACAGGUGCACACCACCACACCCGGCUAAUUUUUGUAUUUUUAGUAGAGAUGGAGUUUUGCCAUGUUGGCCAGGCUGGUCUCGAACUCCUGACCUCAGGUGAUCUGCCCGCCUCAGCCUCCCGAAGUGUUGGGAUUACAGGUGUGAGUCACUGCCCCGGCCAAUUGUUUUUAUGUUUUGUAGAGACGGGGUUUCGCCAUGUUACCCAGGCUGGUCUUGAACUCCUGACCUCAAGCAAUCCUCUCGUCUUAGCCUCCCAAAGUGCUGGGAUUACAGCUGUGAGCCACCGUGCCCAGCCUUUUAUUGUUUGUUUUUGAGACGGAGUCUCACUCUGUUGCCCAGGCUGAAGUGCAGUGGCAUGAUCUUGGCUCACUACAACCUCUGCCUCCUGGGUUCAAGCGAUUCUCCUGCCUCAGCCUCCUAAGUAGCUGGGCUUACAGGCACCCACCACCAUGCCCGGCUAAUCUUUGUAUUUUUAGUAGAGACGGGGUUUCACCAUCUUGACCAGGCUGGUGUGAUCAUGGCUCAUUGCAAUCUUGAACGCCUGGGCACAAGUGAUCCUCCUGCCUUAGCCUCCCCAGUAGACCUGGGACUACAGGUAUGCGCCACCACACCUGGCUAAUUUUUUUAAUUUUAAUUUUUGUAGAGAUGGAGGGGCGGGUCUCACUAUGUUGCCUAGGCUGUUCUCGAACUCCUGGCCACAAGCCAUCCUCCCACCUUAGCCUCCCAAUGCGCCGGAAUUACAGGUGGCUCAGGUGUGAGCCACUGUGCCUGGCCUCUCUCCACUAUCUUGAAAUCAGAUGGGAGGAGGCUUUUUUCUGGGUGGGACUGAGGAGGCACAAUGAAGUCCCCAGGUCAUCAGGGCUGGGCCAUUGCCUUUUUCCCCGCCCUGGGUAGUCAUGGACAGAAGCUUGGGAUGGGAUGGAGAGGAGAGAUUGUGCUGUGUGUCAUGUCUGUUGUUCAAGUAAAUAAAAGUUGCCCUGACUUCA
rnacentral:lncRNA from 1 species